AACGAACGCUGGCGGCAUGCCUAACACAUGCAAGUCGAACGAGACCUUCGGGUCUAGUGGCGCACGGGUGCGUAACGCGUGGGAACCUGCCCUUAGGUUCGGAAUAACUCCCCGAAAGGGGUGCUAAUACCGGAUAAUGUCUUCGGACCAAAGAUUUAUCGCCUUUGGAUGGGCCCGCGUUGGAUUAGCUAGUUGGUAGGGUAAAAGCCUACCAAGGCGACGAUCCAUAGCUGGUCUGAGAGGAUGAUCAGCCACACUGGGACUGAGACACGGCCCAGACUCCUACGGGAGGCAGCAGUGGGGAAUAUUGGACGAUGGGCGAAAGCCUGAUCCAGCAAUGCCGGGUGAGUGAUGAAGGCCUUAGGGUUGUAAAGCUCUUUUACCCGGGAUGAUAAUGACAGUACCGGGAGAAUAAGCUCCGGCUAACUCCGUG
rnacentral:rRNA from 1 species